GAUGAAGAACGUAGCGAAAUGCGAUACGUAGUGUGAAUUGCAGAAUCCAGUGAAUCAUCGAAUCUUUGAACGCACAUUGCGCCCGCCGGCAUCCCGGCGGGCAUGCCUGUUCGAGCGUCAUUUCAACCCUCGGGAGCCCCUGGGAAAUCUUCCUCCCAGGGGCGCCCGGCGUUGGGGAUCGGCCGCGCCCACAGAGGCCGGCCGGCCCUGAAAUACAGUGGCGGUCACGUCGCGACCUCCCCCGCGUAGUAGAAUACACCUCGCGGCGGGAAGGCGGCGCGGCCACGCCGUGAAACCCCCUACUUCUCAAGGUUGACCUCGGAUCAGGUAGGAAUACCCGCUGAACUUAAGCAUAUCAAUAAGCGGAGGA
rnacentral:misc_RNA from 1 species